AACGAACGCUGGCGGCAUGCCUAACACAUGCAAGUCGAACGAGCCCUUCGGGUCUAGUGGCGCACGGGUGCGUAACGCGUGGGAACCUCCCCUUAUGUUCGGAAUAACUCCCCGACAGGGGUUCUAAUCCCGGAUAAUCUCUUCGGACCAAAGAUUUAUCGCCUUUGGAUGGGCCCGCGUUGGAUUAGCUAGUUGGUAGGGUAAAAGCCUACCAAGGCGACGAUCCAUAGCUGGUCUGAGAGGAUGAUCAGCCACACUGGCACUGAGACACGGCCCAGACUCCUACGGGAGGCAGCAGUGGGAAAUAUUGGACAAUGGGCGAAAGCCUGAUCCAGCAAUGCGGGGUGAGGGAUGAAGGCUUUAGGGUUGUAAAGCUCUUUUACCCGGGAGGAUAAUGACAGUACCGGGAGAAUAAGCCCCGGCUAACUCCUU
rnacentral:rRNA from 1 species